rfam:Coccomyxa subellipsoidea C-169, whole genome shotgun sequence.
GUCCUUCGGGACAUCUGAUAAAAUUGGAACGAUACAGAGAAGAUUAGCAUGGCCCCUGCGCAAGGAUGACACGCAUAUUUCGAGAAAUGGUUCCAAAAUUUUU